GCCCCUCUGCCAAAGCCAUCGCCGUGUUUAACAAGAUGCCCCGUGAGCCCCGCAGUUCUACUCCCUUGGCAAAGCGCCGCGCAGGAAAGCUCCCCCCGCGAAAGAGCCUUCACCGCGGGGUGGAUAAACCACCCCUCCUUUCGUUCUUGCUCUGCUUAACUUCUGCACAGAGUUAAAGCACUCUGCUACCCAGCUCCAGAGAGUAUCCUAAUUAAACCCACCGCUGAAUAAACACUUUGCUGGGAGAAGACUACCAAGCCGGGCGAGGGAUGAACUGGGGGAGUGAUCCUUAUCCUAACAGCAUGCCACGCAAAAUUCCGACUGAUUUUAGUUCCGUACCAGCUACUCCGGUGUAGGAGCGCCUAAAUAAUGAGCCGAAGUCUCUUUGAGCCAGGAUGACCCCAGCAAAAGAGCUUGCUGCUUCCACAUAGGAGGGGAAAAAAUAAGGAAGAAAUGAAAAGAAACAGCCUGGCCUUUUAUUGUCCUGUGGCGUCGGACUGGAAGUUCACCGGCAAUUACGCAGGAGGUACAACGAGAAGGUUUCCCUUAAAGAAAUGGUGUAAAAUCCCAGCGUCCUUAUAAACAGAUCUCAAUUCUAUGAGAGACUGCGAUCUCCAGAUGUUAUUUUGGUCUUUUUUCUUUAUUAUUUACGUUCUUCCUCACUGACGAUUUUUAGCUCAGCUCAGCACUGUUAGUUAAGGAAACAUCAUCCAUUAGAAUCAGUCUAAGAUGCUUUUGAAAGAACAGCAGUGAUGCGGAGUGUCGUGGUAAACGAGACCUAAUGUAGGUAUUUUAAUACUUUCUGCAGCUUUCUAAAAGUAGAGAAGAAAACAACUGCAAGACUUUAAACUAUUUAAAGGUUAACUCCUAAUUCUGACAAAUAAGUACUAAGUUUUUAGGCCAAAAGAAAUACACUAACACUUCAAAUCAAAUAUAACACUUUCAAUACACUGCACAGCUCGAAAUAAGGAGAAAAUGAACCUCGCAAUGCACAACUAACGUUCUUUUCAAUAAACAUAAUAUGGUGAA